GAUGAACGCUAGCGGCAGGCUUAACACAUGCAAGUCGAGGGGUAACAUAAGUGCUUGCACUUGAUGACGACCGGCGCACGGGUGCGUAACGCGUAUAGAACUUACCUUUUACAGGGGGAUAGCCUUUAGAAAUGAAGAUUAAUAUCCCAUAGUAUUAUUAAAUGGCAUCAUUUUUUAAUUAAAGAUUUAUCGGUAAAAGAUGGCUAUGCGUCCUAUUAGCUAGAUGGUAAGGUAACGGCUUACCAUGGCUACGAUAGGUAGGGGCCCUGAGAGGGGGAUCCCCCACACUGGUACUGAGACACGGACCAGACUCCUACGGGAGGCAGCAGUGAGGAAUAUUGGGCAAUGGAGGGAACUCUGACCCAGCCAUGCCGCGUGCAGGAAGACUGCCCUAUGGGUUGUAAACUGCUUUUAUACAGGAAGAAACAGUCGUACGUGUACGAUCUUGACGGUACUGUAAGAAUAAGGACCGGCUAACUCCG
rnacentral:rRNA from 1 species